CCUACGGGAGGCAGCAGUAAGGAAUAUUGGUCAAUGGGCGCAAGCCUGAACCAGCCAUGCCGCGUGCAGGAAGACGGCCCUACGGGUUGUAAACUGCUUUUGUACCGGAAUAAACCUUUGUAUGUAUACGAAGCUGAAUGUACGGUAAGAAUAAGGAUCGGCUAACUCCGUGCCAGCAGCCGCGGUAAUACGGAGGAUCCAAGCGUUAUCCGGAUUUAUUGGGUUUAAAGGGUGCGUAGGCGGCCUAUUAAGUCAGGGGUGAAAGACGGUAGCUUAACUAUCGCAGUGCCUUUGAUACUGAUAGGCUUGAAUGUACUUGAGGUAGGCGGAAUGUGACAAGUAGCGGUGAAAUGCAUAGAUAUGUCACAGAACACCAAUUGCGAAGGCAGCUUACUAAAGUAUGAUUGACGCUGAGGCACGAAAGCGUGGGGAUCAAACAGGAUUAGAUACCCUGGUAGUCCACGCCCUAAACGAUGAACACUCGAUGUUGGCGAUAUACGGUCAGCGUCUAAGCGAAAGCGUUAAGUGUUCCACCUGGGGAGUACGCCCGCAAGGGUGAACGUUAAAUGAAUUGACGGCUGAGAGAGCGAGACGACACGAGGGAGGAGG
rnacentral:rRNA from 1 species